GCAGGGCCUGUCCCCACUUGUGGGGCCUUAUGGUCUCUUCCCAGAGUCCAAAAUAGCCAUCAGCAGACACUCCUUGUCUCUGCAAAGCCGGGAUUGCAUCAGGGACAAGACCUUGAUCUUUCUCCUUGCCCUCUAGCAGUUCUUGUGGAAACUGUUAUUUAUUUAUUUAUUUUUUAUUUGUAUGUAUAUACAUGCAGGUACCCAAGGAUGCCAAAGGCAUCAGAUCCCCUGGAACUGGAGUUAGUGGGUAGUUGUGAGCUGCCAUGUGGACACUGGAAAUGGAACCAAGGUCCUCUACAAGAAAGGACUCUUAUCCACCAGGCCAUCUCUCCAGUUCAAAGUUGUUCUUUAAAUACCAAGACCUUUUUAAAAAUUUUUAUUUCUCCUUACUUGUGUGUGCACACACCUGCUCGUGUGCCUUCAUGUGCUUCACAUUGCAUGCAGGAUCCUAUUGAGCAGAGAAGUGGAACUGAGUUACAGAUAGUUGUGAGUGCUUGGCAUCAAUUCCAGGUCCUCUGGAAGAGCAGCCAGUAUUCUUAACGUUUGAGCCAUCUUUUCCAACUGACAGAGAUCCACCUUUUUCUGCCUUUAAGUUCUGGUACUAAAGGUUUUGCCACUACACCCAUCACUGUGUCCUUCUUAGUGCUGGUCCAAAAUCACUGUGCAUUUUCCCAAAGCAGCAUGGGUCCUUUCCUCCUAAGAGCCAUAAAUGAAAACUCAUACCCAAUCCUGUUACAGUAUGGUGGUAGCAGGAGGGUCAGAAGGAGUAGCCAGGCCUAGACUCACCAUGUUGCCAAAGAUGGUUUAGAACUUCUGAUCCUUCUGCAACUGCCACCCACAUGCCUCGAUACAGGUUAUGUGCAACUACCACCCAGGUGCUGGGAUACAGGUGUGUGCCACUACCACCCAGGUGCUGGGGUACAGGUGUGUGCCACUACCACCUGGGUGCUGGGAUACAGGUGUAUGCCAUUACCAUCCACGUGCCAGGAUACAGUUGUGUGCUGUCACCCUGGAUUAUGUGAAGUUAAGAGUCAGACCUGUGCUUUAUGUCUGCAAGCACUCUACCAAAUGAGCUGCAUUCCCACCCCAACAUGUCACUUCACUGGGCUGCUGAUGGCCAAGCAGCCAGUAGUCACAGCAGUUACCAGGUGUGCAGUACACACAUAUGUGUCCUCCUUAAAGUUCACAACAGCUUUGUUAUAGUUGUACUUGCUUCAGAGAACAAAGUUAGCGAAUUGGUGCCUGGACCUUUCUUUUUCUUCCUAAAUAUUUUCUUUCCUUUAAACUACACUGUGGUCGUGAGGUGUAGCUUGAAGUUAGAACAUUUGUUGCUGGGCAGUGGUAGCACACUCUAAUCCCAACACUCAGGAGGCAGAAGCAGAGAGACAGGUGUAUCUCUGUAAGUUCAAGGCCAACCUGGUCUACAAAGUAAGUUCCAGGGCAUCCAGGGCUACCCAGAGAAACUUUGUCUCAGGAAAAGUUAGAACAUUUGCUUGGGAUGCCCAAGACCCAUGACUUGAUUUCCAGAACUACAAUAAAUUAAUGAGUAGACAGGCAAAUCAUUUUAAAAAAGUAAAUGAGGGGGAACAGAGAUGACUGGGCAGGUAAAAAGACUUGCUGUGCAGGCAUGAGAACUAGAGUUCAGAUCCCAGUACCCACAGGGUAAGUUGAACAUGGUUUUGCACACACAUGUAACCCCAGCACUGAAUGGAGGCAGAGACGGGAUUGCUGGGGCUUACUGGCUGUCAGACUAGCUAAAAACAUUUUAGCUAAACUUCCAGGUUCAUCAAGAGACCCUACCUCAAAGAAGUCUGGGGGAGAAUGAUAGAAGACAUUCAGAGUCUUCGUAUGCAUGCACACAUGCGCACAUGCACACACACGUGCAUGCACUCAAAACCUGUGCUGUGGAAUUUAGUGUAUCUGCUGGAAGACAGUAUCAGGUGAUAAUUUCACCCAGGACAUGUGAUUAUACCUGAGAUCACAGCCUCAACAGAUAUGAAGGAACAGUGUGCAAUCUUGUGACUGGACAUUGUAGGUCCUGGCCCAGCAGGGCCAUUUAAGAAGUGAUGUCCUGGGCCGAAUAAGGUGGUCCAGCAGGAAAAAGCUCUUGCUUCUACACUUGACAGCCUGACUUUGUCAUGGAGAGCCACAUUGUGAAAGGAGAAAAUACUCUUAUAUAAGUUGUCCUUGGACCCCCACAUGCAUAUAGAUAUGUAUAUAGACAAACACAAUUGCAUAAUUGAGAUGAAGGAUACUGAAUUACAUGUAGUCCUACAUGCCUGUAAUCACAGCAAGUUGGGUAUUAGAGACAGGAGGAUACAGUUAAAGGUUUGAGGGCUAGAGAGAAGGAUGGCUUAGCAAGGAGUGCUUGCUGUUGCAAAGGAUCCAUUAUUGGGUCUCAGUGCACUGGGUAGUAUACAAACACUUGCAACUCCAGCUUUAGGGGAACGAAACCCUUUUCUGGCCUCUGUAGGCACCUGUAUACAUGUGUGUAUACAUGUUGCACACACAAAUAAAAAUGAGGCAUUGUUCGUGACUUACGCCUUCAUCACCGGAUACUGGUGACACAUCAGCACUUGGGAGGCAGAGUGGAUCUCUGAGUUCUAGGACAGCCUGGUGUGCAGAGUGAGUUCUAGGACAGCCAGUGUUACGCGGUGUCUUGAAAAAGAAAAGAAA